GUGGGGAAUAUUGGACAAUGGGCGAAAGCCUGAUCCAGCCAUGCCGCGUGUGUGAAGAAGGUCUUCGGAUUGUAAAGCACUUUAAGUUGGGAGGAAGGGCAGUAAGUUAAUACCUUGCUGUUUUGACGUUACCAACAGAAUAAGCACCGGCUAACUUCGUGCCAGCAGCCGCGGUAAUACGAAGGGUGCAAGCGUUAAUCGGAAUUACUGGGCGUAAAGCGCGCGUAGGUGGUUCAGCAAGUUGAAGGUGAAAUCCCCGGGCUCAACCUGGGAACUGCCUCCAAACCUACUGAGCUAGAGUACGGUAGAGGGUAGUGGAAUGUCCUGUGUAGCGGUGAAAUGCGUAGAUAUAGGAAGGAACACCAGUGGCGAAGGCGACUACCUGGACUGAUACUGACACUGAGGUGCGAAAGCGUGGGGAGCAAACAGGAUUAGAUACCCUUGUAGUCC
rnacentral:rRNA from 1 species